GGGAACAGUUCUCCACCUAUGAGGAAGCAUUAAGCCAGGAGCCAGUCCAUGGAAGUAAUAACAAAUCAAAAAGUUUCCCAUUUUGGCAAAGAGGAUUCAUACAAUGUGAGACAGACAGGACAAAACCAACCAUGGGGUACUUAGGAGCCUGUUCACUGUACUGUACACAUAUAUCUAUGGGAGUAACUACUGAACUACUAAACUGACCUGUGUGCAUUAUCCCUGACCCAAACCAUGUAAGUAUUUUUGAUAGAUUAAUUUGUUUUACACACGCAGGCUACUGAGACAUAGGCUUUUUAAAAAUCACUGCUAUGAACACAGACUGCUGUUAGCACCGUCGAGUCACCCUGAAGAUGAGGACACACCAGGGGAACAAAGGAGCAUUUUCUGCCUGAAGUCAGCUGUGGGCAACCUGAGCUGAGCUGCCCGCCUUAUCAGUGACUCUGUAACAUCAGACUCAUGAGGCUUUCUCUUUUUUUCGCUCGGGGGGAAACGAGCGGGCUGUGAAACUGAACCUCUGGGUCAGCGAGUUCAGUUUAACCAACGGACGUUUUUCCAGCUCUGUUGAAAACACCUCAGCGCUACCUUUAACCUGAGGGGGCCUGGGGACAAGAGGUUAGCGCGCUAAGUUAGUUAGCUAGGUUACCUGACUCAGUAAUAUCACCCCUCCUCCCCCCUCCUUACCUCUCCACCGCAGUGGGUCAACUCACCCACCUGAGGCCGCGCUGGGGUGCGACACAGUCGCGCUGUCGUCUGCAGCCGCAGAUAAGAGCAGGAGUUUCUCUCUAAUCCAGGGGAAGUCCUGCUCGAGGGAGCUGAGAAAGGCGCCGAAGGCGAGAGGGCCGCGGCCGGGCAGGAUAGCGAGCAGCCUCAGAGUCUUGUUUUUGUUCGACGGCUGUGACUGAAUCUCCUCCACCUGGCUCUCCGUUAAAAUGCCCUCUUGAUACAAGUACUGAAUAAUCGUGUCGUCGACUAUGAGCUGCUCGGAGAGGUGCAGCCUGUGCGCUCGAAGAAUUUCUUUAUGCUUCGGGUCCAUAAUUUUACGGAUUUUCGAGCUGAGAGUGAAACUAUGCUGCUAGCAAACGUCUGCUAGUCCUGCUAGCGGUGUGGAGAGAGAAA